GCAUAAAAACAGCGUAUUCCACAUGUAUAAAAUCUGCCUAUCAUUUCUGACAGAACCUAGUGUAUCCUAGAAAGUACAACAUGUAUCUCAGAAAUAAGGACAUAGUGAUGGAUGUCUUUCUUCAGACUGGCCCAUGUGAGCGCAGAACUUGAGUUUGUCUUUGGAUAACAUAGGAACACAGAAUGCUGCAUUAUACCAGAGAGAGAAACUCCAUCCAGAUGUCGGGGAUGCAAAUGUAUGGAUGCAAGCUUUGCAGCCUAUGCCCUCUACUGCACAUAAAAAGAAGCAACUUUUAUAGUUCCCCAGGGAUGAAUUGUCAGCCAAAGGAUUAAAUAUUAGUAGUUUUUUCAGAAACUUC
rnacentral:lncRNA from 11 species